UGGGAAUAUUGCGCAAUGGGCGAAAGCCUGACGCAGCAACACCGCGUGAGGGAUGACGGCCUUCGGGUUGUAAACCUCUUUCAGCUCCGACGAAGCGAAAGUGACGGUAGGAGCAGAAGAAGCACCGGCUAACUACGUGCCAGCAGCCGCGGUAAUACGUAGGGUGCAAGCGUUGUCCGGAAUUAUUGGGCGUAAAGAGCUCGUAGGCGGUCCGUUGCGUCUGCCGUGAAAACCCGGAGCUCAACUCCGGGCCUGCGGUGGAUACGGGCGGACUAGAGUCCGGUAGGGGAGACUGGAAUUCCUGGUGUAGCGGUGGAAUGCGCAGAUAUCAGGAGGAACACCGGUGGCGAAGGCGGGUCUCUGGGCCGGAACUGACGCUGAGGAGCGAAAGCGUGGGGAGCGAACAGGAUUAGAUACCCUGGUAGUCCACGCCGUAAACGGUGGGCGCUAGGUGUGGGAUCGUUUCCACGAUCUCCGUGCCGUAGCUAACGC
rnacentral:rRNA from 1 species